UCUGCAAAACCAAGGGUCGCCCAAAUUAUAAUUGAUGUUCAUUAUCCCCUCUCCUUCCCUAUUCACAUCAGCGUUUUCAAACAAAUUGAGAGAGAGAGCCGAGAGUAGAAGAACUUGUGAUUCUCAAUUCCUAGCACAGCAACUCACGGCAGGGACCAUCUUUUGCAAUCAAACUCAUAGGUAAUCCUUUCAACAAAUCCAUAUCCAAAUUUUGCUUCACUUCUGUCAAGGAUCAACAAAUGUAAAACUUGUGACAGAAAUCGAAAGUUCCAAAUCCAAGGAGCUCUCUCUUUCGGACCGGUUGCACCACUUUUCUUCAAACGGUUGGAGGUGGUUCGCACGCCUGCUAAAGUUGGAUCGAGAAGCUAUUUAAGGAAAAUUCUAAGCUUUUGAGGUUGAGCGAGGACGGGAGACGGAGGAUGUUGAGCAAUGAGCUAAGAUUUUUAUUCAAUAAAUGUUCCGGUUACUACUGUGUCCUCAUACAUAGUAGUAGUCAAACUCUCAAUUGCUUCCGCUACUCUAAGUCUUACUUCUAUUUUCUCUAAUCUGUUGGACCAAUUUUUAUUCGACUAUGUUGCUUUGUGAACUAAGACUAUGAUUUGAUAAUUGAAGUUCGUCUUUUGAUCUAUAUGUUGUACCCCUUUGAUUGUUUUCCCCUUCUUACCCGCUUCUUAAUUCCCCCAUUAGUCACGACAAACCGUACUUUCUAUCCUUAGGAAGUGCGGUCGUGACAUUGUGUCAGACACAAUUCUCUGCCAUCGACUAUGAAUGUAACAAUUUUCACCUAGUCGUUUUUUUCUAUGCGUAAGUUUGCAAAAUAAAAGCUAUGUACAGAAAUAAUAAGAAGCCUUUUUAUGUGAUAGGAAGCUACUUAUUUCAAUCAAAUGGGAAGCUUUGUAACUGUUAAUUAAAAUCUGUGCAAACCUCCAAUAGCUUGUUUAUGUGGUUCAGGUGAGGUGAGUGAUGAGGAAUCCAGUGCUAACAGCAUCCCUUGUGACCCUUGUAAAUGGUAAAGUGAGAUGAUUAAGGCGGCCGUGUCAACAGCCAGCGUGCUUCUCUACCGCAGCUUCUUCGCCAUGGGGUAUGGGCCCAUCCCAAAUAUUCUGUGCUUGGACAUAUUUCCAACAAAGGUCCAGGCCAUCUGCAUGCCAAUCUGUGCCCUCAUUUUGGGUGUUAAAAAUAUCAUCAUAGAGGCAUAUAUUUAACAAUCUUCUUGUCAUGAUAAACUUAUGUCUUUGUGUAGACAUUUAAAUUUACAUGUUGUAUUGAUAUAAUUAUGUCUUUGUGUUGAUAAUUUUAAUACACAAAAUUGAAAAUUAUUACUUA